AUGAACGCUGGCGGCGUGCCUAAUACAUGCAAGUCGAGCGAACGGACGAGAAGCUUGCUUCUCUGAUGUUAGCGGCGGACGGGUGAGUAACACGUGGAUAACCUACCUAUAAGACUGGGAUAACUUCGGGAAACCGGAGCUAAUACCGGAUAAUAUUUUGAACCGCAUGGUUCAAAAGUGAAAGACGGUCUUGCUGUCACUUAUAGAUGGAUCCGCGUUGCAUUAGCUAGUUGGUAAGGUAACGGCUCACCAAGGCAACGAUGCAUAGCCGACCUGAGAGGAUGAUCAGCGACACUGGAACUGAGACACGGUCCAGACGCCUACGGGAGGAAGCAGUGGGGACUAUUGGACAAUGGGCGAAAGCCUGAUCCAGCAAUACCGCGUGGGUGAAGAAGGCUUUUGGGUUGUAAAGCUCUUUUGUUGGGAAAGAAAAGCAGCAGGUUAAUACCCCGCUGUUGUGACGGUACCCAAAGAAUAAGCACCGGCUAACUUCGUG
rnacentral:rRNA from 1 species